rnacentral:misc_RNA from 1 species
GAUGAAGAACGUAGUGAAAUGCGAUAAGUAGUGUGAAUUGCAGAAUUCAGUGAAUCAUCGAAUCUUUGAACGCACAUUGCGCCCCUUGGUAUCCCGAGGGGCAUGCCUGUUCGAGCGUCAUUUCACCACUCAAGCCUGGCUUGGUGUUGGGCGACGUCCUCUUUGGGGACGCGCCUCGAAACGCUCGGCGGCGUGGCACCGGCUUUAAGCGUAGCAGAAUCUUUCGCUUUGGAAGUCGGGGCCCCGUCUGCCGGAAGACCUGCUCGCAAGGUUGACCUCGGAUCAGGCAGGGAUACCCGCUGAACUUAAGCAUAUCAAUAAGCGGAGGA